rnacentral:rRNA from 1 species
GAGACAGCAGUCGCCGCGGUAAUACGGAGGGCGCGAGCGUUACCCGGAUUUACUGGGCGUAAAGGGCGUGUAGGCGGCCUGGGGCGUCCCAUGUGAAAGGCCACGGCUCAACCGUGGAGGAGCGUGGGAUACGCUCAGGCUAGAGGGUGGGAGAGGGUGGUGGAAUUCCCGGAGUAGCGGUGAAAUGCGCAGAUACCGGGAGGAACGCCGAUGGCGAAGGCAGCCACCUGGUCCACUUCUGACGCUGAGGCGCGAAAGCGUGGGGAGCAAACCGGAUUAGAGACCCCAGUAGUCCCUGUCUCUUAUAC